rnacentral:rRNA from 1 species
GCGUUAUCUCGGCGCACGGGUGCGUAACGCGUGGGAAUCUGCCCUGGGGUACGGAAUAACUCACCGAAAGGUGUGCUAAUACCGUAUGAUGACGUAAGUCCAAAGAUUUAUCGCCCUGGGAUGAGCCCGCGUUGGAUUAGCUAGUUGGUGGGGUAAAGGCCUACCAAGGCGACGAUCCAUAGCUGGUCUGAGAGGAUGAUCAGCCACACUGGGACUGAGACACGGCCCAGACUCCUACGGGAGGCAGCAGUGGGGAAUAUUGGACAAUGGGCGAAAGCCUGAUCCAGCAAUGCCGCGUGAGUGAUGAAGGCCUUAGGGUUGUAAAGCUCUUUUACCCGGGAAGAUAAUGACUGUACCGGGAGAAUAAGCCCCGGCUAACUCCGUGCCAGCAGCCGCGGUAAU